CUCCCAUUUAUCUCUCUCUCUUUCGUCGGAGUCUCUUGCCGAAAUCAGUUUGGUCUCUUCCUCGACUUUCUCUCUUCCUCCUCCAAUCUGGAUCAAUCGACUUUCUCUCUCGAUUCUGUCUCAAUCCAAUCUUUGUCGGCUAUCCAAUCACGAUCACUCCAUCUUCUCUGUCUGGAUUCAAAGACGAUUUUGGUUUGUUUCACCCAUAAAAACGAUUCAAAGACGAUCCAGUUUGUUUAUGGUUUUGUUCUUCCCCUCUCCGCUUUUUUUUUUCACUGAGCCGGUGUACCAUGAAUGGGGGUUCUGGAGAAGAUUCGGUUACCAGUACAUGGCCGGUUUCACGGCUCGUUGGAAGUGCUACUUCAUAUGGUCGAUCUCAGAGGCUUCCAUCAUCAUCUCCGGUUUGGGUUUCAGUGGCUGGACCGACGAGAACACUCAAACAAAGGCGAAAUGGGACCUUGCAAAGAACGUUGAUAUACUAGGUGUGCUAAGAGUGCAGUUCAGAUUCCUCUUGUGUGGAACAUACAAGUCAGCACUUGGCUCCGUCACUAUGUGUAUGAAAGAAUUGUGAAGCAUGGGAAGAAAGCUGGUUUCUUCCAGUUGCUAGCUACUCAAACCGUUAGUGCCGUGUGGCAUGGACUGUAUCCUGGCUACAUUAUAUGCUUUGUUCAAUCAGCAUUGAUGAUCGAUGGUUCAAAAGAACUUUGUGAGAGAUCAUACGUGCUUAUAUCCAUAUCUAUGUGCCUGAUCACCCAACAUACAAAGCUGUUAAGAAAAAUUGUGACACAGUAAUUGACACGUUUUUCUUGGCUUACAUCACUGGAUGGUGGAGAAAGCAAAUUGGAUCAGGAAUCAACCACGUAUGCGGGUGCUUUUGAUUGAUUUGCAGUUAUUGGAAGUUGGUCUUUUGUCUUCGUUCCUUUAUGUUUUUCUCAUGCGUUACCACUAAUACUAUUUAUAUUUAUGUUCUCCAGCUUAAUUUUAGGCACAUAUUUCCAAAUUUAAAUGAAUUCUGGUGAGAGAGUAUUGUUCUGAAUAUCUUGAUAUGCAAUUGAUUUGGCAUGAUCCCUGAAAAACCUUGUCAUCCUAUGUCUUAAAUCUAAGUUGCUACAUAGAAUUGAGUUAUAUCUUAUACUUUUUAAUGUAGGGAUUUGGGCUGGCAUGUAUAGAGUACGCCACUUUGAUGGUCAAACAUACGAAUUUGUGUUCACACAUGACCUAGCUAUCGUAUGUUUGAUGCGAAUAUUGAGCUUUUUUUAGAUGGAAAGGGCAUUGGCGCAGUUCACGCCAACUCAUUGAGACAAAGACGAGUGGAAUCCACUGCAAGGCGCUUGGCGUUUUAUUCAAGUGGAAGCAACAACACAGGAAUACAAUUCAUAUCUCCAAGACCAGUAUAGAUAUUAGCCAGUGUGGUGUUGGUUGAGAUAUGGUUUUAGCAAGAAUGCAGUGAGUAACAUAACUCAAAGACUGAGGCACGGGGACUCCAAACAAUGUGGGAUGGAACUUGGGAAAGAUGCACGUGGCUUAAUUCAUCAAACACUGUGACGGUUGUGGUCAUCUGCUUCUCCUCAGUUCCGACAGACCUCAAUAACCGCAGAGGAUGGUGAAAGUUCUGUGUUUCUGAUGAAGCUCGAGCUCAGUUACGAGCGAUGCUUGAAGGGGCUGAAACCAGUCUUUUUGGCAGUAUAUAUAAAGAGGGGUAUCGACAUAUCGAGACGGAGUGGUGAACCGAGGCGGGAUAUUGGAAAUAUGAUGAAGUCUGGAGAAUGUUGUUCAACUGGUGAACUGAGAUUUGAGAGGGUUGGUGGAUGUAAGAUAAAGCUCGGUAAAUGUAAAACAAGAUUCUAAUGAUUUUAAUACACUUACACAUUAU